UCCUGCGUUAACUUUUACAAAAAUCUUCUCCUCUGAAACUACUGGGCCAAAUUUAACCAAACUUGGCCACAAUCAUCAUUGGGGUAUCUAGUUUAAGAAAUGUGUCCGGUGACCCGGCCAACCAACCAAGAUGGCCGCCAUGGCUAAAAAUAGAACAUAGGGGUAAAAUGCAGUUUUUGGCUUAUAACUCAAAAACCAAAGCAUUUAGAGCAAAUCUGACAUGGG
rnacentral:lncRNA from 1 species